rnacentral:rRNA from 1 species
UACGUAGGUGGCAAGCGUUGUUCGGAUUUAUUGGGCGUAAAGCGUGCGUAGACGGUAGCGUAAGUCAGAUGUGAAAGCCCCGGGCUCAACCUGGGAAUUGCAUUUGAGACUGCUCUGCUCGGGUGCGGAAGAGGGAAGCGGAAUUUCCGGUGUAGCGGUGAAAUGCGUAGAUAUCGGAAGGAACACCAGUGGCGAAAGCGGCUUCCUGGUCCGACACCGACGUUCAGGCACGAAAGCGUGGGGAGCAAACAGG